rnacentral:ncRNA from 1 species
GAUUGUUUGCCAAAAACACAAGCCACCGUAAAGUGGUAAGACCAUGUAUAGAGGCUAAUGCCUACUCAGUGCCCGAAGGUCAAGGAAGUUGGUAACCUGAUAACAUGGGAGCUAGUGACCAAAUUGUAACUGUAACGGUCCUAAGGUAGUGAAAUUCCUCGUUGGGUAAGUUCCGACCCUGCUAAAAC